GCGGUCUCCUCCCAAAGCGUAACGGAGGAGCACGAAGGUUAGCUAAUCCUGGUCGGACAUCAGGAGGUUAGUGCAAUGGCAUAAGCUAGCUUGACUGCGAGCGUGACGGCGCGAGCAGGUGCGAAAGCAGGUCAUAGUGAUCCGGUGGUUCUGAAUGGAAGGGCCAUCGCUCAACGGAUAAAAGGUACUCCGGGGAUAACAGGCUGAUACCGCCCAAGAGUUCAUAUCGACGGCGGUGUUUGGCACCUCGAUGUCGGCUCAUCACAUCCUGGGGCUGAAGUAGGUCCCAAGGGUAUGGCUGUUCGCCAUUUAAAGUGGUACGCGAGCUGGGUUUAGAACGUCGUGAGACAGUUCGGUCCCUAUCUGCCGUGGGCGCUGGAGAAUUGAGGGGGGCUGCUCCUAGUACGAGAGGACCGGAGUGGACGCAUCACUGGUGUUCGGGUUGUCAUGCCAAUGGCACUGCCCGGUAGCUAAAUGCGGAAGAGAUAAGUGCUGAAAGCAUCUAAGCACGAAACUUGCCCCGAGAUGAGUUCUCCCUGAGACUU
rnacentral:rRNA from 2 species